UAAUGGAAAUAACCCAGCUUGAAAGAUGCUCUGCGCUAGGUUGCAACCACAGGCAGUUCCAGGCUUACUUAGAAGCCCUGAAUUUACCAUCAGCUUCUAGCCAGGGCUACUAGUUCCUGGCUGCUCUGGAGGCCACCCCAUGAUUGCCAUGGGAACCAGCCACUCACAAAGCCUCUGGGGCUCCUGAACCCCGCCCCUGCUCUCUGUGAGCCUUCUCAGAUGCUGCCUUGGGAACUGCCCAGGUGCUGGCACCUCCAGCCAGUCAACUCCUUAGAGUGACCUUGGGCCAGAAGAUGGGGGCAGGGCCUCAGUGGGGACAGAACCACCCCACCUACAGCUGCUUUUAUAAAUGGAGAAAUGCAUUCAAAGUUCCCAAGCAACCAGCCAGUAAGUGAACUACUGAAGCUCCUGUGAGAUGAAGUGGCUUCACUCUUGGCGGCUAGUAUGAGAAAGGCAAGAGCCAAGAACCAGCUUUCUGUCUACCAGAGGAAAUACGACAUCCACGGAAGCCUCUGCCACAUCCAAAGAAGGAAUUAAUCCAUCAGUACUCAUUGAGUGUCUACUAUAGUCACAGCACUCUGCUUGUGGUUGAAAAUAUACAAGAGAAAGAUUAAAAGACCCAGUUCAAUACGUCUGUCUGCGGAAGGGGAAAUGAAGCAUCUGCUUGGUGCCUCCAUUAGGAAGAUGACUUACGACAGGCAGCUGUCAGGCAAGGCGUCUGCAUUCUGACGGAGCCGGCUAGAGCAUGGAGCUGAAAGCCUUCAAGAAGCCAAUGAAAGUCCCAGAACCUUAGCCCAGCCCUUCCCCACCCGCUCCCCCAGAAGCAACGUGAACUUGGGUGCCCACAUACACACAACUGUGAGAAUAAUUUCAGCGUUUUCGAGCUUCCUCACCCCCAAGGUCCAGACCCGGAUGCCACAUCUAUCAGUUCUGAGCUGUGUGAUGUGGGUGGAAUUACUCGCUGUCCUCCUUUGUAAGAUGGGCAUGCACGAACCACACCCAGCUCAUGGGUUUGUUCUGAAGAUGACAUGAGCAGCUGGAGCUGGAGCCCUGGGCACGGCACCUUGCCCAUACUGGGAGCUGGUCAUUAUUAGCUGGUAUUCUCAUGCCCAGGCCAGGAGUUUAAGAUUCCCCAGUCAAAGAGAAUAAUAUAGGUACUUUACAGUUGAUCAGUGCCAAUUUUUCUUUUAAAUCUACCUUACAGGUUUUCUGGAGUAAUGGUUCAGAGUAUGGAUUUACUUUACAAUAUCGAUAAUUUACUUUAAAAUGGUUUGACUUUGAGCAAGGGAACACUGAGUUUGUAUUAGCUGGAGCCUCCAGGGUGGUCAGCUGGUGUUAUAUCACAAAGACGUCAGGUCUUCAGAUCACUGAGGCUUUGAAAAUUAACAUCGUGAGCGUCAGAAGUGAGUUUUACUGGUGAAAUGAGAGGCUUGCUAGACUACAUGAUGAAUAUCGGACAUAGGCUCUCGAUGGCAAAAUCAAAGGUAUUCGAGUGUGGAGGGCUGGGUAAACAUUGUAAAGGCGCUCCCCACGUGUGCAUGAGGCGCUGUAGGAAUCCAGUGAGGCCUGUGGCCAUGGCCACAGGGACGGCACCGAAUGUUGCUGUUGCUUCUGUGAACUUUUCAGACAAGAGGUAGACCCAUCAAGCUCACAGCCGUGUGAACUGUCCUGGGCUUGCUUUCUCAAGGAAUGUUGGUUUAAUAAAAGGCCUGUGUUUGUGGCCGAACUUGG
rnacentral:lncRNA from 1 species